rnacentral:rRNA from 1 species
AUCCACCCGGUAUUCCAUGUCUCAUAGCUGAAGCCGUUCACACCCGACUAUUCUCCGGUCUUCGCUGAGCUUCCUCGAACACCUGACCUCACUGCUGCGCCACUAUAGCCUGAGGCGAUAUUGGAUCGCUGAAUGGUCAAGGAAGGCAACACUUCCAUCGUCCAGGUUCGUGUACAAUGGUCAUCUCUCUCUCUGGAUUCUGCAACUUGGGAGGACUACAUGGUGCUUCGUCAUCGAUACCCGACGGCUCCAUGUUGGGAUGAUGCCGCUUCCGCUCAAGGGGGGCAAUUGUCACACCUGCUCCCACCUGAGCAGUGA